AUUUGCUUCCCCAUCAUAUUAAUGAAAUUUUAAAAACCCAUGGGAUAAAUCUUUGCUUUACUUUUUGUCCCUCACAUGAUUUGCACUACGUGAAUUGUGGUAUUAAAAGAGAAGUUAGAUGCCACUUAGCACACAUAUUUAUUGAGCACCUCCUAGGUGUCUGGCUUUCUGCAUUUGGUGGUGCCUGCGCCUAUUUAACGGAAGAUCUGGAGACCUGGAGGAAGAAAUGACAUCCUGCUCCAGUAUUCCUGCCUGGGAAAUUCCAAGGACAGAGGAGCCUGGCGGGCUACUUUCCAUGGGACUGCAAAGAGUGGAACAUGACUGAGCACAGCACAGCACCUACAGCCAAAACACAGGACCAUAAACCUACCACUCGACAGCACGACAAAAGUCAAGGGUUAUCACCAAUGGUCAGCAACAUCCUAUAAUAAUUCCAUGUGAGCCAAGGAAGGCUUUUGUACAUUUCAAAAAAAAAAAAAGCAAAUGUGUCCCCAAACUGUAAAACCUGAAGCAUUUUCUUCUGGAAACUUAAUCUGGACAUAUUUUAUUUCCUUUCAUAUAUCAUUAGCAUAAGCUUAAAAUUAGAGGAAAAUACUUGUGGAUGCUAUAUUUUUUACCAUAAACUUAAGAAUGUAAGGUUAAAAAAAAGUGAUAACCUGUGUGCUUUCUAAAUGUAUCCUUUGCACAUAAAUCAAACCGUAAGCAAAUAAUCAUUAAAGUAGGAAAAUGCCAUGAAUUCUGU
ensembl:lncRNA